GAUGAACGCUGGCGGCGUGCCUAAUACAUGCAAGUCGAGCGAACAGACGAGGCGCUUGCUCCUCUGACGUUAGCGGCGGACGGGUGAGUAACACGUGGAUAACCUACCCAUAAGACUGGGAUAACUUCGGGAAACCGGAUCUAAUACGGGAUAAUCUAUUGAACCGCAUGGGUCAAUAGGGAAAGACUGUUUUGCUGGCACUUAUAGAUGGAUCCGCGCCGCAUUAGGUGGUUGGUAUGGUAACGGCUUACCAAGGCGACGAUGCGUAGCCGACCUGAGAGGGUGAUCGGCCACACUGGAACUGAGACACGGUCCAGACUCCUACGGGAGGCAGCAGUAGGGAAUCUUCCGCAAUGGGCGAAAGCCUGACGGAGCAACGCCGCGUGAGUGAUGAAGGUCUUCGGAUCGUAAAACUCUGUUAUUAGGGAAGAACAAAUGUGUAAGUAACUAUGCACGUCUUGACGGUACCUAAUCAGAAAGCCACGGCUAACUACGUG
rnacentral:rRNA from 1 species